CUCUUGGGCGGAGCAGUGGGAGAGGAAUACAGGAUGCCAAUGUCAUGUGGGCUGGAAUAUGGGAAGGCUGGAGAUACUGAAUAGCUGGAAUAAUCGAUUCCCUGGCUAGGAUUCAGAUGAAAGAAGAGGAAAAUGCUGAUUCAAGAGUUAAUGACUGGGGACUUUCCUGGUGGCACAGUGGACAAGAAUCCACCUGCCAAUGCAGGAGACAGUUUUGAUCCCUGGUUCAGGAAGAUUCCAAACAUCACAGAGCAACUAAGCCCUUG